rnacentral:rRNA from 1 species
GUUCGAUUCCGGAGAGGGAGCCUGAUAAACGGCUACCACUUCUACGGAAGGCAGCAGGCGCGAAAAUUAUCCAAUCCUGACUCAGGGAGGUAGUGAGACAAAUAAUGAACUGGGAUUAUUUUAUCCUGGGAUCACAAUGGGCUUGAUUUGCAAACUUGAUAUUAGCGAGGAACAAUUGGAGGGCAAGUCUGGUGCCAGCAGCCGCGGUAAUUCCAGCUCCAAUAGUGUAUAUUAACGUUCCUGCAGUUAUUCGAUGCUCGUAGUUGGAUUUCUGGGGGUCGAGACAGGAGGGCGGCUAUGGCCGCCACCAGUCUUUUCCCUCGUCCGCCUGUUAACGGCGAUCGAGAUUGAAUUCUCGACGCCGGGCUCAGGCACUUUGAUUUAAUUCUCUUGAGCAAAUUAUAGUGUUUCAGGCAGGCGUGCGCCGGAAUACAUUAGCAUGGAAUAAUCUUACGGACCGUGUGUGGGUUCGCCCACAUUUCCUUAUUUGUUGGUUUCUCUAUUUUAAGGACACGGAAUGAUUAAUAGGGAUAGUUGAGAAGUUAUAUCUCACCAGGGGAGGCAUUAGUAUUUAAUUUCCAGAGGUGAAAUUCUUUGAAAUUUCUUAAGACUAACUUAUGCGAAAGCAUUUUUCUGCCAAGAAUGUUUUUAUCUUAUCGAACAGAACGAAAGUUAGGGGAUCAAAGA